UUCAAUUUGUCUAUCAAAUAGGCGCAAGGAAAUCCAGUGGGAGUUAGCCCAUAAGAAAAUGAUGAAGACUAUGUCACUAUGGUUUGGUUUUUAUUUGUUUUGGGCUGGGCGUUGUGGGCUUUCAAAUACGCUUGAAACUCUUAAGCAAAUGACGAAGACUAUGUCACUAUGGUUUGGUUUUUAUUUUAGUCUUGGGCUGGGCGUUGUGGGUUUUCAAAUACCCUUGAAAUUGUAAAUGAACUUAGAUUAUUGUUAGGAUUGGAGCAAUGGGCCUUUCUAUUUGGGCCAUAGAGAGCAACUUCCCAAACAAAUCCAAACGAAGAAAAGUAGUUCAUCAUGUAUGUGAACCUGAUAAAGCCACGUAACUAAUUUCUCGGAUAGAUCAAUUCUGUCAAUCAAAUUGUAUUCAAUAAAUGAGGCAAUUGCUCUGCCACUCUUUCUCUUCCAUCUUCUUCUCCUCUUCAUUCGAUUCCACCUCCAUCAUUUUUCUUCCCGUCUUAUUUUCUAACCCAUUCUUUCUCUUUUGAUCUUCUAAUUUUUUCUUAUAUUCUCAUUCAUAUCUACUUUUUCAAGUUUUUAUUUGCUUCUAGAUUUUUCUUUGUUGUCGUCCAGCCGCCUCCCCGGUGUUAGUAAAUCGGAAAAAAAAAAUCGUCCGACCAUAUACCAAAACUGCAUCGCCGACCGGUGUUGUUUUCAUGCUCACGAACCAUUAUCUACGGAUGCGUGGAUUUGGAACUAUUCUUCUGGAAAUUCACUGCGAAGAGUGCCAACAAAUUGGGUAUACUUGCUAAGCGGGAAGCCUCUCCGUCCGACUCCAAUAUGAAUGUGCAGUGGUGGAAAUAAUUGUGGAAGUCUAAUAUGCCCCCCAAAAAUCAAACUAUUCCUAUGUGUUUAACCGUAUUCCCCCAACAAAGCGAAACUUGAGGAAAAGGAAAUUUUGUGAUGACGACAGAUGUGUGUGGUUUUGUAAGGUGAUGAAUCCGAAAAUCAUGCUUUAUUCAAUUGCAAAAGAGCUAAAAAAAAUUAGCAGAUCGUGUUACCUGUCCUUAAACAUACUGUUGAUGUUGAAGCAACUAUUUGUGAGUUGCUUCGUUAAGUGGCGAAUCGACUGAGAAAGGAGGAAUUCUUCAGAUUUGGUGUUAUAAGUUGGGUUAUUUGGAACGAUAGAAAUCUGGUGAAUCAGUCUUUAGAUAUCUGUCCGGUGGAAGGGAAGGUUGUUGGAUCGAGGCGUGUAUGCACGAUGUUCGAAGAUCCGCUGAUCGUAGAGCCUCCUCGAUGCGGUGUUUCCAUCUUCCUACCUUGCCAGACGAAGAGGCCCCUCAGGCCGUGGACCCUCCAUUGAGUUCUAGAGAGGAGUGUCGCUGACAUUCUCUGACUGCAGGUCGGUUAAAAACGAAUGUGGACGUUGCUCCUGUGCUAGAGAAGGAUGGUUUCGGCGUCAGAAUUGUUGUUCGUGAUCUAUCUGGUGACGUGGUGGUGGCCCAAACGUGCUUUCUCCCUGGCUCGUGAUGUAUUGGAGAAAGGCUUGCGAAUUCGCUGAGUAAAAGCCCUAAUCUGAAUUUCCCUCCAUAUCCCCUUCAGCUUGUCGAAGAAGAAGAGAAUGAAAUUGAGACAGCAAGGAGACAGCUGGCAGCAAUGCCAUUAACAGCCUUCUUUUUUACCAUACUAAACAAUAAUGACCAUAUUAAGCAAUCUUGUUGAUCAUAUUAAAUAACGUUGAUCAUAUUAAAUAAUGUUAACCAUAUUAAGCAAUUUUGUUCACCAUAUUAAAUAAUAGCUACUUAUUAUAAUUGAUAGAA